ensembl:lncRNA
GGAGGAUUCUGGGAAAGGUAGGAGAAAGCGCAGAGUCACCACGUUAUCCCGGGAAGACAGGAUGCUUCUGCUGGCAUCCAAUAAGAUAAGUUUUAUAAAAUAUAUAGAUUUAUGAUAAUUAAGACUGAGCUAGCAGAUGAGAAAUCCUAGUCACUGGCCAAGCAGCAUUUGUACAAAAUAUAAGUCUCUGUGUGUGACUUGGGACCUUAAUGUGGUGGCGGGCGGAACUUGGGCGACCUGGUGGAAAGCACCCACGUGGCAGCAGGGCUCGGGUGGCUUGGUGGAAAGACUUAUUGUUACACAUCAUCUCUACAUUCCAACAAUCAUCUAGUUGUUCACUGAUAUGUGCAUGCAAACCACAUCCCAUACAUUUGCUAGGUCGUCUCUCUCCAUUCUUUGAUUCAUAAUCCAGUCAUUGCCCAGGUGCACAGUCAUCCAUCUAUCCGCCUACGCAUCCACUCUUUAUUUUGUCGUUCAUAUGCCCCCCAUUGUACAUCUGUAUCAUCCGUUCUCACUCAUCCAAUCCCACCUUAGUAGUGACGAGAGCAUAAACAAAAGUACUGUGCUGUUUGUCUCAGAAAGGCAGAGCACAUACAGUUAUAUGCAGUUUAUAACAGUUGAUAGUUAUAUUAUCAAGUGUGUUAUUAGUUGUGCUGGUUACUUCUCGUUGCUCUGACCAAAUACCCAAGAGAAAAGCAACUGAAAGGAAGAAAGUUAUACCUAGGCUCGUUGCCGUGACCUGCACAGCUUAGGGAGUGACUGCAUCUAAGAACAAAGCCAGGCACACAGUCUGUACCUUUAAAAUAUUGAUUGUUAUUAUACACAUUAUAGAAUCAUCUAUGUGCCGGGCUGUGCGCUGUGUCUCCAGGACACAAACCUGAAGGACUCAUGCGACGUCAUGAGGAAAGCAUGUUAUACUGCAUGCUUAUCCAUCUUGAGCCUCUGGGCAGACAAAGGGCAGAAGGGACCGGUUCUUACUGGCAGUGAGAUUGCCAUUCCCAUCAGGCCAAGGAGGAGGCAGUCUUGCAGAAGAUAUGGGAACAACAUUAAAAAUAGAGAAGAGAGAGGUUAAAGACUCAGCAGAGAGCGGGCAUACAGUGUGAGAAUGCUGAGCUGUGGGGUAUAGUGAGGGCUGUUGUGCAAUAUUUGAUCUCACUCUGACACUCCCGAGGCUUCCAAUAAAGUUUACUUUGAAUCAGAAGGUGGAGCUAGCUACUAGCUGACCAAAAUUAGCCAUAGAGGUUUUGGAGGACAGAGGACCAACAGGAGGUAGUAGGGUGGGGCUUAGACAGACUGGAUUAAGGAGAGAGGGGUGGGGUCACUGGUUGCUUCUCCUUCACUUCUCUCAUCAUUCAGGUUCUUACCCCGAUAUCUGACUCUUGAGUUAUUAUUGAUAAUAAGAUUAUUAGAUAAACGCUUCAGACGGCAAGAUGAGAAAGAGGGAUGGCACGAGGCGCAGACACUGAGAACCUGAUCUCUGCUUCAGAGCUGUGAUACUCUCACUCCUUGUGGAUUGCUGCAAUGUCUCGAUAGCUCCUCCACCUCUACGCUCAAGAGCGCCCAUCAUUGCUUUGCUCUGUUUCUGGAGUAAGAUGCAGGAGGAGUAGAGAAUAUUCCAGAUGCUGGAACAGAGGCAUGGAGAGACAUCAUGUCUUGGGCUGGGUUUCCCAAGAGUCGGACAUUAAAAGGAGUCUGAGAAGGGAAGAGCUGCUCUGUGGAGGUCUCCCAGGUCAAAAGGGCUCGGUCACUGAGGAGCAAGCUGGGGCUGCUGCUGAAUGUGCCUUGGAGUUUUGGAACGAGAACAAUAAAAAUAAGCGUGUUAUGCCGACUCUUGUUUCGUUCACCAGCUGAGGUUUCCUGGGGCAGAGUUCUUGAGGGCAGGGUUGAGUUGUUGAGUGUGGGGAAGGCGUUCUUGUUUGGAAGUUCAAGCUGCUACACACACACACACACUAGGGGGAAAGAGGGGUGUUCUGUAGGUCUGGAGGAGACUGAGUAUCCAUUCUAGCCUGUGCUCAUCACCAUUGAUCCCAUGGUCACCUCUAUUUUGAAAACUGUUUGGGGGGCUGGCUGUCAGGGCUCUGUGGUUUGGCAGAAGU